rnacentral:rRNA from 1 species
UACGGGGGGAGCAAGCGUUGUUCGGAUUUACUGGGCGUAAAGGGCGCGUAGGCGGCCAGUGCAAGUCAGUUGUGAAAUCUCCGAGCUUAACUCGGAAAGGUCAACUGAUACUGCUCGGCUAGAGUGCGGAAGGGGCAACUGGAAUUCUUGGUGUAGCGGUGAAAUGCGUAGAUAUCAAGAGGAACACCUGCGGCGAAGGCGGGUUGCUGGGCCGACACUGACGCUCAUGCACGAAAGCGUGGGGAGCAAACAGG